GCGUGGACGGUCGCCCAGCAGUCAGCAGCAAUAGGUAGUGGUAAGUGAAGUAGCUAGUUAUGGUAGACAUUGCGUUGAAAAGGUAGCACACCAAUCGGUGUGUUACCAGUGCACGCAAUUAGAGUUAGGUAUUCUGUUAGGCCUCGCAGGCAUUGCGUUGAAAAGGUA